rnacentral:Y_RNA from 1 species
GGCUGGUCCUAGUGCAGUGAUGUUUGCAACCAAUUGAUCAUAACCAGAUUCGUUUAUUCCUUUUCCACUCCCACUGCUUCAUUUGAAGGCUUAA